rnacentral:misc_RNA from 1 species
ACACAAAGCGCGAGUCUCAACUUUUCUCUCUUUAGAGUCUUCUCUCUACACGCACAUACUACAGAGGAACGCCUCUGUCUCUCUUAUCCUCUCUUCUUCUCUCGGAGGUUUUAUCUGAUAAAAGAUGCCUGCUUGGUGGGGGAAAAAGUCCUCCAAGAACAAGGAAGAGAAGCAGCAAGAUAACCCAUAUGGGAAAAAUGAUGUUACCAAGAAGAAGACCACCAAAGAAAAGCGUAAGAGCUUUGAUGAGGCCGUUUUGACCCGGAAUUCGCCACGUGGGAGCAAAGAUUUAGCGGGUGGAUCUUCCGGGUUUGCGGGUUUCGAUUCGGAUUCGGUCGAGAAGAUAGGGCUUCCACUUCCUACGCCUUCUGGGUCUGGGAGUGAUCAUGGGAUUGGUGG